CCUACGGGCGGCAGCAGUGAGGAAUAUUGGUCAAUGGACGCAAGUCUGAACCAGCCAUGCCGCGUGCAGGAAGACGGCUCUAUGAGUUGUAAACUGCUUUUGUACGAGGGUAAAUCCCGAUACGUGUAUCUGGUUGAAAGUAUCGUACGAAUAAGGAUCGGCUAACUCCGUGCCAGCAGCCGCGGUAAUACGGAGGAUUCAAGCGUUAUCCGGAUUUAUUGGGUUUAAAGGGUGCGUAGGCGGUUCGAUAAGUUAGAGGUGAAAUCCCGGGGCUCAACUCCGGCACUGCCUCUGAUACUGUCGGGCUAGAGUUUAGUUGCGGUAGGCGGAAUGUAUGGUGUAGCGGUGAAAUGCAUAGAGAUCAUACAGAACACCGAUUGCGAAGGCAGCCUACCAAACUACGACUGACGUUGAGGCACGAAAGCGUGGGGAGCAAACAGGAUUAGAUACCCCAGUAGUC
rnacentral:rRNA from 1 species